CGGGAGGCGGGAGGCGGGGGACCGAGCAGGGCCGCGGGGCCCUGGCAGUGGCGGCGGCGGCGUCGGCGGCGGCUCGGUGCAGCUCGGCGGUGACAGCGCCUCCGCCCCGCCUCCCCUCCCCGCCCCCCCGCGCGCGAGCUGCCGGCGGGACCCGCGCUGCUGACGGUCGGUACCAACCUAGCCAGCAGAGGCGGGGGCGCGAGGAGGCCGCGCGGAGGACCCCCCCGAGAUUGGUAUCACCUACCCCAUCCCAGCCUGUGAGCGCGCGCCCUCCCGGGCUGAGGCAGUCGGCUCCCGGCGCUGGACCCGGGGCUGCGGGCGGGGCCGGACGCGCCCGGCUCGGCGCCCCCGAGUCAAAGCCCCGGCCCCUACUCGCACCCCGAACCGCCCCGCCUCCAUCCUGGCUGCUCCUGGCGCCCAGCUUGGCAGCCUCUCUCAAAGGGGAAUCCACAGCCAUGAUUUUGCUGAUGAGGGCAGAAAGGCCCAAGGAGGAGUCCACCAUCAUGCAGUGCACGUGCUCACCCACCAUUGCCCAGGCAGGGACACAAGAAACUCACAGUGAGAGCACCAGGCACCACCAAGAAGCCCUAGGAACACUGACCCUGUCUCUACAGUGGGAUGAAGAAACUGAAGCCCAGAGAAGUUAAAUGAUAUGCCCAGUUUUGCUCAGCUCAUGAGUGGUUAAUAGCCUGCUGGUGACUCGGCCUCCUGGCAGAAUGCCCUCAAGAGCAGGCACUGUCCAUGGAGACAGAGGAGUAGGAGGUGCUCCAGCCAGCCUGCACCCUGUGCCUGGUGCCAGGACCCCGAACACCUGCUUCAUCCUCCUACCAUCCUGCCAUCUCCUCUACUUGUCUGACUUACAGAUUAAAGCACCCCUGUCCCUGAGCCCUCCCUGAUCAGUGCUGAGCAUUAAUGACCAUGCUGUGAUGUUACAUCUUCCCAUCAGCUGAGGUCUGCAUUUGUGACAGAUCCUGGGCCAAAGGAGAAGAUGACCAGGCAGUGACAGCAAUGCAGAGGGCUAUGAUGACCAAGGGCAGGCUCCUCAGAAGUAUCUUCCAGGACUGCUCACCUGGCUUGAGGCCAGGAAGGCCUGCUGAAGGAGGUGAACUGUAGGUGUCUAGGCUGGGAACUGCAGGCUGAGUAGCAGUUGGUCCCGGGAGUGGAGUGAAGUGGGAGGAAUGUUCUGAGUAGAGUGUGUGG
ensembl:lncRNA